GUGGUUCAGUGGUAGAAUUCUCACCUUCCAUGUGGGAAACUUGGGUUCAAUUCCUGGC
rnacentral:tRNA from 1 species